GCUGCUAUGGCUCAGUCGGUAGAGCGCGUCCUUGGUAAGGACGAGGUCACCAGUUCAAAUCUGGUUAGCAGCU
rnacentral:tRNA from 1 species